rnacentral:tRNA from 1 species
AGCUCAGUUGGUAGAGCGCACGACUUAAAGUACAAGUGGGAGGUCGUGGGUUCGACUCCCUUCGG